rnacentral:lncRNA from 1 species
CAAAUCCCUCGUUUGGAUGCCACAGCUGGAAUGGCGCUCCCACACCUUUCACUUUCUAUCCUCGGAGCAGGAAUCUUUUGAGGCUUGAGUCCUGCGGCGGCGAAGGGCGGGCGUGCGGGCGUCUGGGAGAGGCGGAGGGAGAGCGCGAGUCCCGGGCGGCGGGUGGAAAGCCUUCGGCACCACCUGUGUGGUAACCAGUGCAACAGGUAAACGCGAACGCAAUUUAUUACCAGGUGUAAGUGGCCUGGAUGGGGCGCCGUGCGAGGCCUUGUGUGCUCUGUCCUUAUCACACUCACCCAAGUGCGCGCGCCCCGACGCCGCUGCCAGGCGCAAGACUCGCCGGGGGUCCUGGAGGAUCCUACGGCCGCAGGAGAACUCUUCUACCCCGCCCUUCCCGAAUUUCAAGUAGGACCUAUCCUUCUCGCGUUAAUUUACCCCUUAUGAAUGACACGUGAUUAACAAUAACGACGGGAAAGGGAUAAGGAGAGCGAACGCAAAGGAUAAGAGCGAGGCCGGGAAGAGAUGUUGGCUGAGGUGCGGGUUAUGAGCAUGUGGAGUUUCGGGAGCAUAGUUGGCUCUGUCUCGCUCCGCUGUGGCCACGAUUCCGUCAGUCCGCCGUGUGGAGGCGCUUCCUCCACUUCUGCAGAUCCGUUUAUCACCAUACACUGUAGCACGGAAGCUGUAUCAACAAUGACUUGAUAGAUUCCCUGUCCCCGAAGAUAUUAGAAUAUGGCGUGCAUUCCCGUAGAUUUAUGUAGCGGGAAGGCCAAGUCAGAGAAGAUGGAGAUCGAAACCUUGACUGUGUUUUUCUCUACUGGAAAUAUAGAUUCUUGAAUAUUUUGAACGGAACAGAUAAAAAGUGAAAGGUUAGAAAGGAAAAAAGUGAAUAGGAGGGGUAGAAAAUUAUUUUUUCUGUGAUUAAAUGAGUGAUUAAUUCAAUGUCUCCGAUUUAAUCUCAGUGGUGGUGCGGGGUUAUCAGUUAGUAAAUAGAGGAUGAGGGGAAAGAGAGUGGUGAUGACCCAGAUGAAAGAGGAGAGGAAAUCACACGAUGCCUGUUUCGUAAUUGCGGCUUUAAUACAGGUGAAGCAAGAGAGAAAAUCGGGUGAUGAGUAAUUCAGGUGUGUGGCUGAUGCGAAGGAAAUAGGAAGA